GAUGAACGCUGGCGGCGUGCCUAAUACAUGCAAGUCGAGCGAACGGACGAGAAGCUUGCUUCUCUGAUGUUAGCGGCGGACGGGUGAGUAACACGUGGAUAACCUACCUAUAAGACUGGGAUAACUUCGGGAAACCGGAGCUAAUACCGGAUGAUAUUUUGAACCGCAUGGUUCAAAAGUGAAAGACGGUCUUGCUGUCACUUAUAGAUGGAUCCGCGCUGCAUUAGCUAGUUGGUAAGGUAACGGCUUACCAAGGCAACGAUGCAUAGCCGACCUGAGAGGGUGAUCGGCCACACUGGAACUGAGACACGGUCCAGACUCCUACGGGAGGCAGCAGUAGGGAAUCUUCCGCAAUGGGCGAAAGCCUGACGGAGCAACGCCGCGUGAGUGAUGAAGGUCUCGGAUCGUAAAACUCUGCUAUUAGGGAAGAACAUAUGUGUAAGUAACUGUGCACAUCUUGACGGUACCUAAUCAGAAAGCCACGGCUAACUACGUG
rnacentral:rRNA from 1 species